GUCCUGAAUGAUGCAAGAUCUGCCUCAUCUUCUGCAGUUUUUCCUCCAUGAAAAAUAAUUCAGGAUUAUUUUUCAGAGUUAAGAAAUGUGGUUGGAUAAUCACAGCGCCAUUAAGCCACACCUCGUUGGGCAGCAAACAGGCGAAGCACACUGGUAAUGACCACACACAUCAUGAUUGUGAGAAGACUUUCAUCUUUAUUAUAUUUCCCCAAAAGCUGCAUUGCACGACUCCCAGGAGUGUGACACGAAAACUCUCUUGAGCUCGUUCUAGAAGACGCUGGGUUCUUCCCGAUCAUCUGCACAAGAGGCUUCUCCCUCCCUUCCUCACGGCUGUCGUCAGCGUGUGGAUUGACCUCCUGUGCAACAUCCUCAUCUCUCCUGGGCUCUGUGAUCUGGAAGUAAGAGAAGGAGCAAGGACGUCAGAUUUCAAAGUGGCAACUGUCCAGAUACAAAGGUUUUCACAUUCUUAGUUCUCACCAGAAUUGAGACUCAUUUAUGAUUGCAGUUUUAUCUCAAAUUCUCCAUUCGGAGCCCCAAUCCUGAACCAUUCAUUGUUUUCAAGUGCGAUUCUUGGAGUUUGGUGAGCCUGACUGCAAAAACUACUGAAUACACCUAAGGCCAGGCCCAGUCAUCUGCUUUAUAGCCAAGACUCCAGGUGAUUCUGCUCAGGGAGCUGGCAUUUGGAGAAUGCUGCUUUAGUCUUAACUCACCUUGGUCCUUUGGCACCACUUAAAUUCUGAACUUGGAACCACACUACAGACAUCACUGACCGGUCAGCAUCGUGGACCAGGAGACCUGCUGCCUGUUCCCUAAUGCUAAUCCUGGAUCCUAAUGUCUAUUUUAUUAUUAAUUUUUAAUUGACUUAUUUUCUUUAUUUUA